UACGUAGGAGACGAGCGUUGUCCGGAGUUACUGGGCGUAAAGGGUGCGCAGGUGGCCGUGCGCGUGGGGAGUGAAAUCGCCUGGCUUAACUGGGCGGGGGCUUUCCAGACGGCGCGGCUUGAGCCACAGAGGGGGGCGUGGGAUUCCGGGUGGAGCGGUGAAAUGCGCAGAUAUCAGGAAGAACACCUAUGGCGAAGGCAGCUCUCUGGGACGGUACUGACGCUGAGACGCGAAAGCGUGGGGAGCGAACAGG
rnacentral:rRNA from 1 species